CCCUUAGAUGUUCUGGGCCGCACGCGCGCUACACUGAUGCAUUCAACGAGUCUAAAACCUGCUCUGAUAGGGGUGGGUAAUCUUUUGAAUGUGCAUCGUGAUUGGGAUAGAUGAUUGCAAUUUUUCAUCUUCAACGAGGAAUGCCUAGUAAACGCAAGUCAUCAGCUUGCAUUGAUUACGUCCCUGCCCUUUGUACACACCGCCCGUCGCUCCUACCGAUUGAAUGAUCCGAUGAAUAUCAUGGAUUGAGGAUGCAAGUAGGUUAGCCUAUCUUCAUCUUCGAGAAGCGAAGUAAAUCUUAUCAUUUAGAGGAAGGAGAAGUCGUAACA
rnacentral:rRNA from 1 species